AAGUUUGUUGGUGAUAAAGGUUAAUAGAUUCAAUAGCAAAGAGAGAUUUGAUAAAGAAGUGAUGGUGAGUGGUAUGAGUUGUAGAAGUUUCAAAACUUGUUAGAAUGGUUCUUAAUAGAAUUAGCUCAUCCUUUCAUGGAUCAACCUUGGAGCUUGGAAAACCUUCUAAUGUGUGUUCUGAAGCACAAGUUGUUCAUUUGCUCCUGAUUUCUAGUGAAGUUUAUGCUUUCGAUGUACUGCAGUGCUGAAAGCUGAAGUAAG
rnacentral:misc_RNA from 1 species